AUGGCGUCGCCACGCCGCACCUAUCUCCCACUCCUCGCGCUCUGCCUCGUCCUGCACCUGCGCCAUGCCGCGGCGCAGCAGGCCGACGAGCGGCAGCUCCUGCUCGAGGUCAAGCGCGCGUGGGGCGACCCGGCGGAGCUCGCGUCGUGGUCGGCGGCUACGGGCUCGCCCUGCGCCGGCUGGGCCCACGUCUCCUGCGACGGCGCCGGCCGGGUGACCUCCCUCGCCCUCCCGAACGUCACCGUCUCCGGCCCCGUCCCCGACGCCAUCGGCCGGCUCGCCAGCCUCGCCACGCUCGACCUCAGCAACACCAGCGUCAGCGGCGGCUUCCCGAAGUCCCUCUACAACUGCACGGGCCUCACGUACCUCGACCUCUCGAUGAACACGCUCUCGGGCGACCUCCCCGCCGACAUCGGCCGCCUCGGGGAGAACCUCACGUACCUGGCCCUGAACGGCAACGGCUUCACCGGUCAGGUGCCGCCCGCGCUGUCCAAGCUCAAGAACCUGACAGUCCUCGCUCUCAACAGCAACCAGCUCACCGGCACCAUCCCGCCGGAGCUCGGGGAGCUGACUGGCCUCCAGACGCUCAAGCUCGAGGUCAACCCGUUCGUCCCCGGCAAGCUGCCGGAAUCGUUCAAGAACUUGACGAGGCUGGCCACUGUCUGGCUAGCCGGAUGCAACCUCACCGGCGAGUUCCCGAGCUACCUCCCGGGGCUGUCGGAGUUGGUGUGGCUUGACCUGUCGACGAACGCGUUCACCGGGAACAUUCCACCGUCGAUCUGGAACCUCACCAAGCUGCAGGUGUUGUACUUACACUAUAACAAGCUCGCUGGUGAUGUCGUCAUCGAUGGCGCCAUCGGAGCGGCGGGUCUAAUCGAGAUCGACCUGUCCUACAACAAGCUGACCGGAGCGAUCCCUGAAAGGCUCGGGACCUUGACGAAGCUCAUCAAAUUAUGCUUGAGCGGCAACGGCUUCUCCGGCGAGAUACCGGCGAGCCUCGCCCAGCUACCGUCGCUGGUGUUCCUGUGGUUGUUCGAGAACAAACUCACGGGAGCGCUUCCGGCGGAGCUCGGGAUGCACUCGCCGUCGCUGAGAGACAUCCAGGUCGACGACAACGACCUCUCCGGGCCGAUACCUGCGGGGGUCUGCCAGAACCGCGGGCUGUGGAUCAUCUCCGCCGCCCGCAACCGCCUGAACGGAUCGAUCCCGGCCAGCCUCGCCAAGUGCCCCGCGCUCAUAAGCCUGCAGCUCCAAGACAACAAACUUUCCGGCGAGGUGCCGGCCGCGCUCUGGACGGAGACGAAGCUGAUGACUCUGCUUUUGCAGAACAAUGGAGGGCUCACCGGUGCCCUGCCAGAGACGCUGUUUUGGAACAUGACGAGGCUCUACAUCAUGAAUAACAAGUUCAGAGGCAGCCUUCCGUCGUCGGCGGCUAAGCUGCAGAAGUUCAACGCCGGGAACAACUCCUUCUCCGGCGAGAUACCCGCGGGGCUCGCCGCCGGCAUGCCGCUGCUGCAGGAGUUCAUCCUGUCGUCCAACCAGCUGUCGGGCGCGAUCCCGGCGGGCAUCGCGUCGCUCGGUGGCCUGACGCAGAUGAACUUCAGCAACAACCAGCUCACCGGCGAGAUACCGGCGGGGUUGGGCUCCAUGCCGGUGCUCACCCUGCUCGACCUCUCGUCCAACCAACUCUCCGGCAGCAUCCCGCGAGCGCUGGGAUCGCUAAGGCUGAACCAGCUAAACCUGUCAUCCAAUGACCUCGCCGGCGAGGUCCCGGAGGCGCUCGCUGUCCCCGCCUACGACCGAAGCUUCCUGGGCAACCGCGCGCUCUGCACGGGCGCGGCGUCGUCGGGGAACCUCGCCGGCGUGAGCUCGUGCGCGGCCAGGUCAUCCGACAAGGUAUCACCAGGCCUCCGCACCGGCCUUGUCGCCGCGGCCGCCGCGCUGCUCGUCGUCAUCGCGGCGCUCGCCUUCUUCAUCGUCCGCGACAUCAAGAGGCGGAAGGGGCUCGCGCCGCCCGAGGAGGCCUGGAAGCUCACCCCUUUCCAGCCGCUGGACUUCGGCGAGGGCCCCGUGCUGCACGGGCUCGCCGACGAGAACCUCAUCGGCAAGGGCGGGGCGGGGCGGGUGUACCGCGUGGAGUGCCCCAGCCGGAGCGGCGCGAGCGGCGGCACGGUGGUGGCCGUGAAGCGGAUCUGGACCGGCGGGAAGGUGGAGAGGAAGCUGGAGCGGGAGUUCGAGUCGGAGGUGGACGUGCUCGGCCACGUCCGGCACACCAACAUCGUCAAGCUCCUGUGCUGCCUCUCCCGCGCGGAGACCAAGCUCCUCGUCUACGAGUACAUGGGCAACGGCAGCCUGGACAAGUGGCUCCACGGCCACAGGUGGCCGGCACCGGCUGGGAGCUCGAUGCCGGCGAGGGCCCCCUCGGUCAGGCGAGCGCCGCUGAACUGGCCGGCGAGGGUGAGGGUGGCCGUGGGCGCGGCGCGGGGGCUGAGCUACAUGCACCACGAGUGCUCCCCGCCGGUGGUGCACCGGGACGUCAAGUGCAGCAACAUCCUGCUCGACGCGGAGCUCAACGCCAAGGUCGCCGACUUCGGGCUCGCCAGGAUGCUCGUCGAAGCCGCCGGCACGACGCCACACGACACCAUGUCCGCCGUCGCCGGAACCUUCGGCUACAUGGCUCCCGAGUGCGCGUACACGAGGAAGGCGAACGAGAAGGUGGACGUGUACAGCUUCGGGGUGGUGCUGCUGGAGCUGGCCACCGGCAGGGAGGCCGGCAACGGCGGCGAGCACUGCUCGCUGGCGGAGUGGGCGUGGCGGCACCUGCAGUCGGGGAAGAGCAUCGCCGACGCGGCGGACGAGUGCAUCGGCGACGCCAGGCAAAGUGACGACUUCGAGGUCGUGUUCAAGCUCGGCAUCAUCUGCACCGGCGCCCAGCCGUCGACGCGGCCAACCAUGAAGGACGUGCUGCAGAUACUGCUGCGGUGCGAGCAGGCUCACCGGAAAAACCUCGACGAGAAGACGGGCGUCUCCGAGUACGACGCCGCCCCGCUGCUGCCAGCAGUGCGAGGGGGCAGUCGCCGGAAACGGCUAUCCGACGCCGCUGACGGCAAGGGUAGCUUCGACGUCGUCGUCUGA
rnacentral:rRNA from 1 species